GAAGCACCGGCUAACUCCGUGCCAGCAGCCGCGGUAAUACGGAGGGUGCGAGCGUUAAUCGGAAUUACUGGGCGUAAAGCGCAUGCAGGUGGUUCGUUUAAGUCACGAUGUGAAAGCCCGGGGCUCAACCUCGGAAUUGCAUUUGAAACUGGCAGACUAGAGUACUGUAGAGGGGGUAGGAAUUUCAGGUGUAGCGGUGAAAUGCGUAGAGAUCUGAAGGAAUACCGGUGGCGAAGGCGGCCCCCCUGGACAGAUACUGACACUCAGAUGCGAAAGCGUGGGGAGCAAACCAGGAUUAGAUACCCCUCGGUAG
rnacentral:rRNA from 1 species